rnacentral:rRNA from 1 species
CCUACGGUGGGCAGCAGUGAGGAAUAUUGGUCAAUGGGCGCGAGCCUGAACCAGCCAAGUCGCGUGAGGGAGGACGGCCCUACGGGUUGUAAACCUCUUUUGCCGGGGAGCAACGGGCGCCACGUGUGGCGUCACUGAGAGUACCCGGAGAAAACGCAUCGGCUAACUCCGUGCCAGCAGCCGCGGUACUACGGGGGAUGCUAGCGUUAUCCGGAUUUAUUGGGUUUAAAGGGUGCGUAGGCGGAUCGUUAAGUCAGUGGUCAAAUUGAGGGGCUCAACCCCUUCCCGCCAUUGAAACUGGCGUUCGUGAGUGGAAGAGAAGUAUGCGGAAUGCGUGGUGGAGCGGUGAAAUGCAGAGAUAUCACGCAGAACCCCGAUUGCGAAGGCAGUAUGCCGGCUUCCGACUGACGCUGAAGCACGAAAGCGUGGGGAUCGAACAGGAUUAGAUACCCGGGUAGUC